UGGGGAAUAUUGCGCAAUGGGCGAAAGCCUGACGCAGCGACGCCGCGUGAGGGAUGAAGGUUUUCGGAUCGUAAACCUCUGUCAGAAGGGAAGAAACCGCACUGUGCUAAUCAGCAGUGCCUUGACGGUACCUUCAAAGGAAGCACCGGCUAACUCCGUGCCAGCAGCCGCGGUAAUACGGAGGGUGCAAGCGUUAAUCGGAAUUACUGGGCGUAAAGCGCACGUAGGCUGCUUUGUAAGUCAGGGGUGAAAUCCCACGGCUCAACCGUGGAACUGCCUUUGAUACUGCUUAGCUUGAAUCCGGGAGAGGGUGGCGGAAUUCCAGGUGUAGGGGUGAAAUCCGUAGAUAUCUGGAGGAACAUCAGUGGCGAAGGCGGCCACCUGGACCGGUAUUGACGCUGAGGUGCUAAAGCGUGGGGAGCAAACAGG
rnacentral:rRNA from 1 species